AAACUCCAUGUGAAAAGUUAUGACUUACUGGACGAAAAUCACGUGCAAAGUCAGAUAAAUAAAUAAAUAAACAAAUAAAUAAAGCAAUAACGCACACGUGCAUAAGUGUGUGAACCAUAACAUGCAGUGCCUACAGUACGAGCACGUUUUAGUGAGUCACGUGAUUCUCCUAGAGGACGCAUGCUAUUUCAUACGUCAUGGAUGUUCGUGUGUGAGACAGAAUGACGUCAGAGUUGUUUGUUGAACCUAUAGAUGGCGGAAGACUCCUUUCCGUGUCACGCGCUUUAUUCCAGUCUUUGACUUAAUUUCGGUUUGAAGCAGAAAAAAAAAGAAGCAAAACUGUAGCUGGGAAAAGUUGAACACACGCAUUAGCAUGCUUCGAAAUCGAAAUGUGCAUGAAGCUGCGCGCGCGGAUCAGCGUUCUGGGUUAAAAAAGCGUGCUGUUCUCGUGCUGCAGAGGCGCGCGCGCUCCACUCCAUGGAUGAGUCCUCUGCCUGCGUCUCGCGCACCAAAUCUCCGUUUUCUCUCUCUCUGACCGCUCAGUUGUUGUUGUUGUUGUUGUUGUUUUUUUUUUCUUCGCAACGCUUCAUGACAUGACAUGACAGACGCUCGAGCUGGAUUUGCUUUCUUUUCUUCUUCUUCUUCUCUUCUCUUCUUUUUUAAUUAUUUUUUUUAUACUUCUUUCCGACGUCAUCUGCUCUUCUCACGCGACGAUCAGAGGCUGGAUCCCGGGACGUCUCUUAGUCGCGCGCACGGUAAGCAGGACAAAGAGACUAGCUGUCUGAAGGAGAUGUCAGAGAUAGUCACUGGAACCUUCUUAGAGAAACGCGAUGACCACAGAUGACCCAGCGGACAUUGGGAUAAUCCUGGAAGGCGUGGAGGCGCUCAGAGAGUUAUCUAGUGUACCCUUUGCAGUGGCAAUGCUUCUGGGUCUUAUAUAUGCGCUCAACCUAAAUUAUCCACCAGAGCUUAGGUGUAUAUUUACAUUCGGAAAAGUCAGUCAGAAAAUGAUGGGACUGGAUGGAAACAUGCACUAAAACCCAAGCUGCUUUGUUAUGAAGUCAUCGAAUACAUGAUUUUAAAACAUUGAGGCAUUUUUUUUUUUUUUUGGAAAGACUUUUUUUGUACUCAAAUUUGUUCACGUGAGUCUUGUGGUGUUCUUGCUGUUUUUUUUUUUUGUUUGUUUUGUUUUGUGUUUUAAAUGUGUAUGUUAGGAACAACCACAAGAAGAAGCAUGUGAAAAUGUAAAGCCUUGUUUCGGGGCAUUUUAUAAAAUGCAAGUUAACGUUUUGGAAAAUCUCUGAAGGCGAAAUACUCGAGCACAGUUUUGAAAUGUAACGCGUUACAGUUUGUCCGUAUCGAAGGCCAGAUUCGGACGCUGUUGGUUUCUUUGUGACUGUUGAAUGUUGUAAACCAGAUGAAGAAUGUAGUACCUUGUUCAGUAUGUUUUAAGAAAUACAAACUGAAGUUUUUGCAAGUCUCUGAAAGAAGGAUUUUAAUGAUUUUUCUUGUUUGAACUUAACUUUUUAACGUAACUUUUAAAAAAAAUUUUUUUAUAUUAACAAACACGAGAGCAAUAUCUUGACAUGAUAAACGGCAUGAUUUUCAGGUUUUCGGUCUCUUUGUA
ensembl:lncRNA